rnacentral:rRNA from 1 species
GUAGUCCACGCUGUAAACGAUGAUUACUAGGUGUUGGCGAUACAUUGUCAGUGCCUAAGCGAAAGUGAUAAGUAAUCCACCUGGGGAGUACGAUCGCAAGGUUGAAACUCAAAGGAAUUGACGGGGGCCCGCACAAGCGGUGGAGCAUGUGGUUUAAUUCGAUGAUACGCGAGGAACCUUACCUGGGCUUAAAUGCAAAAUGACUAAUUGGGAAACCAAUUUUCCCUUCGGGGCAGAUUGCAAGGUGCUGCAUGGCUGUCGUCAGCUCGUGCUGUGAGGUGUCGGGUUAAGUCCCAUAACGAGCGCAACCCCUAUCCUUAGUUGCCAGCGGGUAAUGCCGGGGACUCUAGGGAAACUGCCAGCGCAAGCUGUGAGGAAGGUGGGGACGACGUCAAGUCAUCACGGCCCUUACGUCCAGGGCUACACACGUGCUACAAUGGUCGGUACAAAGGGCAGCUACCUGGUGACAGGAUGCUAAUCUCUAAAGCCGAUCUCAAUUCGGAUUG